rnacentral:rRNA from 1 species
UACGAAGGGGGCUAGCGUUGCUCGGAAUCACUGGGCGUAAAGCGCACGUAGGCGGCUUUUUAAGUCAGGGGUGAAAUCCUGGAGCUCAACUCCAGAACUGCCUUUGAUACUGAGAAGCUUGAGUCCGGGAGAGGUGAGUGGAACUGCGAGUGUAGAGGUGGAAUUCGUAGAUAUUCGCAAGAACACCAGUGGCGAAGGCGGCUCACUGGCCCGGUACUGACGCUGAGGUGCGAAAGCGUGGGGAGCAAACAGG